AUUCGCACGAGUUCCCGUCAGCGUCGUAAAUCGCCA
rnacentral:antisense_RNA from 1 species